AUGGACAGAUUUGAAAGAAGACUUACAACUUUAAGGAAUUGCCACCGAAAGUGUGAAGAGAAAUUUGAAAAUGCUUGGGACCACUGCAAAGAGAGCCGUGGUGAUGAACCUGGGAGCCCCCCAUCAACACCACCACCAUCCAGAGAAGACGAGGUGCUCAGAGAGGAGCUUCUGUCAUCCAGUGGGUCUGAUGCAGAUCCAUUGGAUGAGGACUACAAACCAUCUCCAUCGCCAUCAUCCAGUGAAGAUGAGUUGCUUGCACUAGAGUCCCAGUCAUCCUGCCACAAUACUCCAGAGAAGCACCACAGUCAUGCAUCAUCCAGUGAAACUGGCACCAGAGAAGCUGAGAACCAGAAGGCCAAAGGUAAAGCAGUUCAAAAAGGUACAAAGUCAAAAGCAAAAGGAGGGACGUUUAAAGAUGAUAAAAAGAUUACUGUUAAAAGAAGCAUAACAAAGGAUGGUGCCAGAGUCUGGGACAAAGUCCAUUACUGUGUAUUCUGUGAAAAGGCUCAGUUGAAGAUAGCUAGACAUCUAGAAAGAAAACAUCGUAUGGAACGCGAUGUCGCCUAUGCUUUUAGUUUCCCAGUUGGCUCAAAACAAAGGAAGAUUCUGAUAGAAGGCCUUCGUAAUAAGGGUGACUGGCAUCACAAUCGCAUGGUCUACAAGGAAGGAAAUGGUGAGAUUGUAGUAUGGAAACGGCCCUCUGAGAAGGCAGACAUAGAGAGCUACCUACCAUGUCAACACUGUUACGCAAUGUUCAAGAGGACUGAACUCUGGAGACAUGAGAAGUCAUGUAGAGAACGGAAAGAGGAAAGACAGAAAGGCAAAAGAGUACAAAAAUCUUCCUCACAUCUACUUCCAAUCAAAUUAGGCCAAGGAGUACAAAAGAUCAUCCACUCCAUGCAACAAGAUCAUGUAACCUCUCACAUCAGAAGUGAUGAGAUGAUUUGUGCGUAUGGAGAUGCAUUAUUUGCAAAAAAGGGCCGUGAAGAAUCUCAGCACAGAUACAUUGCACAAAAGCUGAGAGAACUAGGACGGUUUAUGUUGGCUGCCAAGGAGAUUGAUGAGCGUUCCGAAACUCUUAAAGACAUUUGUGAUCCAGCAAAUUUUAAACUGGCAAUCGAAGCAGCCAGACACGUGUCAAACUAUGAUGUAAACAAGAACGAAUAUGGAAAGCCAUCUACAGCUGUUAAAAUUGGGUUUUCACUCAAAGGGGCCACUGAAGCCUGGAUAGGCCACUGCUUGAUGGACUCUGAUGUCAAAACUGAGAAGGCGGCAAAGAAGUUCAAGGAGUUGCUGGAGAGCUCAUGGUCCAUUCAUGUGUCGACUAAUGCUCAUAGCUCAUUGGAGCAACGGCGGUGGGGCAAAGAAGACACUGUACCUCUGACAGAGGAUGUUAUCACUCUCCAGAACUACCUGAGGAAAGCUGAGGAUGAGGCAAAGGCAAAGUUAACCGAGCGCGUGAGUACUACAGCAUACAGGAAGUUAAGUGAGAGCCUUCUUGCACAAAUAAUUGUGUUCAAUAAGAAGCGUGAAGGAGAAGCAUCACGUUUAACCCUUGAGACAUAUCUAAAAGCAGACACCGGUCCUGUUAAUAAGGACAUUUAUGAGACUCUAUCGCCUGUGGAAAAACAAAUGAGCCACAGACUGACACGUUUGGUGACACGCGGAAAGAGAGGCAAAAAGGUGCCCAUCCUUCUUCUUGAGCGCACAAAAGCUUCGCUUGACUUCCUGAUUGAAAAACGGAGGGAAGUUGGCAUACUUGAGGAGAACCCCUUUCUGUUUGCCAGGCUUAGCACAACAACCAAUCUCCGUGGGUGUGACUGCCUCAGAAGAUAUGCAGAAGAGAGCAAGGCCAAAAACCCAGAACUGCUGAGAUCAACAAGGCUGAGGAAACACGUCGCUACCUUGUGUCAGCUUCUCGACCUCAGCAAUCAGGAACUUGAGCAAGUUGCUCGUUUUAUGGGACAUGAUAUCCGAGUCCACUGCGAGUAUUAUCGACAGACAGAUAAAACAUUCCAAGUGGCCAAGAUUGGCAAACUUCUGAUGGAGCAUGGAGCAGAGUCACUGAAAGGGAAGAGUCUGCAAACACUGGACUCCGUUAUCAGUGGUAAUUAAAUUAUUUUUAUUUAACGGGGACAAUACACUAGGCAUUGUUACACUUAGACAACCGAUGCCGUGUACAUAGGGCGGGCAUCCCUGGUUAAGCUUUUACAUAAAUUAAAAACAAACACAAUCAUCACAAGAAACAAAACAUUGAAAUUAAAUGUUAAAUGAAACAUUAUAUUAUUAUUAUACAAUUUUAAAGUUCUCCCUCUUCCAAUUACACUGUCUCCUAUCUGUCUUCAUCUCUCCUUCUGACUUUCUGUCUCUUUAUUUAUCUGCAUGUUUUUGACUUUCUUUUAAUAUCACUGUAAAAGUACGUUGAGCAAUUUCCUACUGUGAAUAUUUUCACAGGCAAAAGACACGCAGCCACCCCAACUAAAGAUCUGAAAGGUGUCAAAAAGAGAAGGACGUCAGAUGCAGGAAUUCAACAGGAAGCUCAUGAAGGUAUGUCCUAAAAAUCACACGAGUAGUCAUAUUAGGAACGCUAUGCUCUUGUAUUAAAAUCGAAACUUUGAAUCUUGUGGAAAAAAAUAAGCCUGAUGCGUGACGUUUACAAUGUAUUACCAUUUGUUGAUUUUGUGUAUGGUCAACCUAAAUGUGACAAAGAGUUGCGAUCAGUUGUUGUGUAGCGUCGCCUCUCGCCGCAUCCAGUGUAACGGUAGACAGCACUGCCUUUCUUUGAGAGCGCUUGGGCCUGGCAGCUCACGCCAGGUCUAGACACGGUGAAAGUUAUAAAGUUAUAAAGAAAUUAGCUAUAUAGUCUGUAAUAGAUGCAGUGUCGAAAAGAGAAGGGGAUAAAAGACUGAGGUAAAGUGGUGGAAUAAAUGAACAGUUUAUCAAAUUGUGUUGUAGUAA
ensembl:lncRNA